UUGCAGAACUCGCAGGUACCUUGGUGGAGCAAGAGCUUGUCAUGUUUGCUUCCCUUCCCUUGCCCAGAGAAUUCACCCAACCAAAGCCAACAGGAGUUUUCCCUGCAGGGAAGGCCAGAGCUGCCACCAAGGAGGGAAGCAGAGCCCCGUGGCUGUGGGAAGGACUGACCCUUUGCAGGCUGACAACAUGACAAUGCCAUGACCCAGAUGGGAGUGCAGAGCAGGUCUGGACUGACAGGACAGUCAUCCAUGACCACAUCAGCCUGACAUUCCCUGAUGAUGGCAACGGGAUGAACUCGGAGCAGCUGCACAAAAUACUAAGCUGUACCCAUGGACAAGCUUGGAUUCCAACCGUUCUGUUCACAGCAAUGCAGCUGUGGCAGUUCCCUGCUUAGAGAGAAGCUGGAAUUCGUUGGCACUGGAGCACGUUGUCCCAGGAAGCGACUACUCCCUGCCAGGACUAUUUGGUACCCGAAGCCGAGCACGCAGAUCAUCCUGGGAGGACAAAGAGCCAAAACACAGCUGGUUUCCAAAGCUGUCUUCCCCCACACUUGUCAUGUGGGCACAGGGAUACCACACUUGCAAGGGCUUCUCCAAAGGUUUUUCUGCCAGGAGUGCUCCAGGCUUUCAGAAGGUAACUUUCCAGCCCAGAACAGAAACACGGACCUGCUGCC
rnacentral:lncRNA from 1 species